AUGGCAACCAUAGAAAGGAUUGGAACCCCUGUACGCUUGCAUGUGUGUAGCCUCUCUCGACCAUGGCAACCUUGCCGGGCUAGAGCACAGGUCCUCCACCAUAUUCCACAAUCAAUCCACCAAAGCAGGAGUAGGGUUUUACGCCUCGCGGAGGUCCGAACCUGGGUAAAAACAGCCCGUGUGAUCGUUGUCGUGCCGUGUUGCGCCCGUCGCUCUUUGUGUAAUGUGCUCAUCCCCUCUGCCGAACCACAAGGGGCUGAUGGCCCCAUAGGUGGCUGUGGUUUCCCCACGACAUCUUUGGCGCGCCAGGUAGGGGGAAGCGCCUACGCGAACCCAAGAGUGUAUGCAGCGCGUCAUCUUCAUCCUCUGCUCCAUCGACGGCUCCAUCGUCCAUGGCGCCCAAGAAGAAGCCCAGCACCACGGCUUACCCGUCCACCUUGA
rnacentral:rRNA from 1 species